GGGAAUAUUGGACAAUGGGCGCAAGCCUGAUCCAGCCAUGCCGCGUGAGUGAUGAAGGUCUUAGGAUUGUAAAGCUCUUCACCGGUGAAGAUAAUGACGGUACACUAGAUAGUCCC
rnacentral:rRNA from 1 species